GCUAGGUGUGGUGGUGCACACCUGUAAUCCCAGCUACUCGGGAGGCUGAGGCGGGGGAAUUGCUUGAAUCCAGGAGGUAGAGGUUGCAGUGAGCCAAAACUGCGCCACUGCAUUCCAGCCUGGACUACAGAGCGAGACUCAGUCUCAA
ensembl:misc_RNA Metazoa_SRP Metazoan signal recognition particle RNA